UACGAAGGGGGCGAGCGUUGUUCGGAUUUACUGGGCGUAAAGGGCGCGCAGGCGGCUCAUUUUGUCAGGCGUGAAAGCCCCGGGCUUAACCUGGGAACUGCGUUUGAUACGGAUGGGCUAGAGUUCGGGAGAGGAGAGUGGAAUUCCCAGUGUAGAGGUGAAAUUCGUAGAUAUUGGGAAGAACACUGGUGGCGAAGGCGGCUCUCUGGACCGAGACUGACGCUGAGGCGCGAAAGCGUGGGGAGCAAACAGG
rnacentral:rRNA from 1 species